UACGGAGGAUCCGAGCGUUAUCCGGAUUUAUUGGGUUUAAAGGGUGCGUAGGCGGUUUGAUAAGUUAGAGGUGAAAUGUCGGGGCUCAACCCCGAAACUGCCUCUAAUACUGUUGGACUAGAGAAUAGUUGCGGUAGGCGGAAUGUAUGGUGUAGCGGUGAAAUGCCUAGAGAUCAUACAGAACACCGAUUGCGAAGGCAGCUUACCAAACUAUAUCUGACGUUGAGGCACGAAAGCGUGGGUAGCAAACAGG
rnacentral:rRNA from 1 species